AUAGAGUUUUCCUCUUCGGAGGACAAAAUGACAGGUGGUGCAUGGUUGUCGUCAGCUCGUGUCGUGAGAUGUUGGGUUAAGUCCCGCAACGAGCGCAACCCUUAAGCUUAGUUGCCAUCAUUAAGUUGGGCACUCUAAGUUGACUGCCGGUGACAAACCGGAGGAAGGUGGGGAUGACGUCAAAUCAUCAUGCCCCUUAUGAUUUGGGCUACACACGUGCUACAAUGGACAAUACAAAGGGCAGCGAAACCGCGAGGUCAAGCAAAUCCCAUAAAGUUGUUCUCAGUUCGGAUUGUAGUCUGCAACUCGACUACAUGAAGCUGGAAUCGCUAGUAAUCGUAGAUCAGCAUGCUACGGUGAAUACGUUCCCGGGUCUUGUACACACCGCCCGUCACACCACGAGAGUUUGUAACACCCGAAGCCGGUGGAGUAACCAUUUUGGAGCUAGCCGUCGAAGGUGGGACAAAUGAUUGGGGUGAAGUCGUAACAAGGUAGCCGUAUCGGAAGGUGCGGCUGGAUCACCUCCUUUCUAAGGA
rnacentral:rRNA from 1 species